rnacentral:tRNA from 1 species
GAAAAAGCAUAAUGCAAGAACUGCUAACUCAUGCCUCCAUGUAUAAAAACAUGGCUUUUUCA